rnacentral:rRNA from 1 species
CCAGACUCCUACGGGAGGCAGCAGUGGGGAAUAUUGGGCAAUGGGCGCAAGCCUGACCCAGCAACGCCGCGUGAAGGAAGAAGGCCCUCGGGUUGUAAACUUCUUUUAUUUGGGACGAAACAAAUGACGGUACCUGACUAAGAAGCCCCGGCUAAAUACGUGCCAGCAGCCGCGGUAAUACGUAUGGGGCAAGCGUUAUCCGGAUUUACUGGGUGUAAAGGGAGCGCAGGCGGCCUGCCAAGUCUGGUGUGAAAACCCGGGGCCCAACCCCGGGCCUGCAUUGGAAACUGGCGGGCUGGAGUGUCGGAGGGGCAGGCGGAAUUCCUAGUGUAGCGGUGAAAUGCGUAGAUAUUAGGAGGAACACCGGUGGCGAAGGCGGCCUGCUGGACGAUGACUGACGCUGAGGCUCGAAAGCGUGGGGAGCAAACAGGAUUAGAUACCCCCGUACU